UGUGGGAGCGAGCCUGCUCGCGAUGACGGCGGCCCAUUCAGCACCACCGGUUCAGGCAGACCGCUUUCGCGAGCAGGCUCGCUCCCACA
rnacentral:misc_RNA from 1 species